GAUGAACGCUGGCGGCGUGCCUAAUACAUGCAAGUCGAGCGAACAGACGAGGAGCUUGCUCCUCUGACGUUAGCGGCGGACGGGUGAGUAACACGUGGAUAACCUACCUAUAAGACUGGGAUAACUUCGGGAAACCGGAGCUAAUACCGGAUAAUAUAUUGAACCGCAUGGUUCAAUAGUGAAAUACGGUUUUGCUGUCACUUAUAGAUGGAUCCGCGCCGCAUUAGCUAGUUGGUAAGGUAACGGCUUACCAAGGCAACGAUGCGUAGCCGGCCUGAGAGGGUGAUCGGCCACACUGGAACUGAGACACGGUCCAGACUCCUACGGGAGGCAGCAGUGGGGAAUCUUCCGCAAUGGGCGAAAGCCUGACGGAGCAACGCCGCGUGAGUGAUGAAGGUCUUCGGAUCGUAAAACUCUGUUAUUAGGGAAGAACAAAUGUGUAAGUAACUAUGCACGUCUUGACGGUACCUAAUCAGAAAGCCACGGCUAACUACGUG
rnacentral:rRNA from 1 species